rnacentral:lncRNA from 1 species
CUCAUAUCCAACUCCUCGAGCAUCUCAAGGUUUCCAAUGGACCUAGGGAGUGAUUGCAUGUCUGCAAAAUUGUUGCUAAUGUUUAACUUUACCAGGGUGGUGGCAAAGCACAAGCUCUCAGGUACUGACUCAAGUUCAUUGAAACUAACAUUGAGCUCUUUCAAACUUGUUAAGGAUGCCAUAGUCGUAGGCAAUUGCCUGCUUUAACAGUGUGGUGGCAAAGCACAAGCUCUCAGGCACUGACUCAAGUUCAUUGAAACUAACAUUGAGCUCUUUCAAACUUGUUAAGGAUGCCAUAGUCGUAGGCAAUUGCCUGAUGUUAUUGUAUCGCACGGACAGAAUCUCCAAAGAACCCAUUCGUCCCAC